UACAGAGGAUGCAAGCGUUAUCCGGAAUGAUUGGGCGUAAAGCGUCUGUAGGUGGCUUUUUAAGUCCGCCGUCAAAUCCCAGGGCUCAACUCUGGACAGGCGGUGGAAACUACCAAGCUGGAGUACGGUAGGGGCAGAGGGAAUUUCCGGUGGAGCGGUGAAAUGCGUAGAGAUCGGAAGGAACAUCUGUGGCGAAGGCGACUACCUGGGCCAGCACUGACACUGAGGCACGAAAGCGUGGGGAGCAAACAGG
rnacentral:rRNA from 1 species